rnacentral:rRNA from 1 species
CGUAGGUGGCAAGCGUUGUCCGGAAUUAUUGGGUGUAAAGGGUGCGUAGGCGGGAAUAUAAGUCGGAUGUGAAAUGCCCGGGCUCAACUCGGGAGCUGCACUCGAAACUAUAUUUCUUGAGUGAAGUAGAGGCAAGCGGAAUUCCUAGUGUAGCGGUGAAAUGCGUAGAUAUUAGGAGGAACACCAGUGGCGAAGGCGGCUUGCUGGGCUUUUACUGACGCUGAGGCACGAAAGCAUGGGGAGCAAACAGGAUUAGAUACCCUGGUAGUCCAUGCUGUAAACGAUGAAUGCUAGGUGUGGGGGGUCUGACCCCUUCCGUGCCGGAGUUAACACAAUAAGCAUUCCACCUGGGGAGUACGGCCGCAAGGUUG